GUGAGCAAAAUGUAUAUCUUUCAGAACGUAAGUUAAACAACGCUGUUUAGUGAAUUGGCUAGACUGUUGAUUGAACGGCAAACUAAGCUAGUUGGCUGCGACAUAUACAGUAAUAUUGAAAGGAUAAUAUGUAAAACUGUAAAUAUACUUCAAUUUGCAUUAAAGUAACCGACAAUCUACACUGAUGGCAGUAAAGGCUUGGAUCGUGAUGGAAGAGAAGUAAGAGGAAGAGUGAAGGAUUAUUACAUUUUGUGAUGGCAACGCAAUAUACGUUAAAGCAAUA